GUUUCUUAUUGGGGUUACAUUAUAUAUAUGUUUUUCUGUUUGUAAAUGGACAAUCUAAUAACUACAUUUUUGCUUUUUUUCCUUAGGAUGCAGACUUACAAGUGGAUUUUCCAGUAGGAUCUUAUAGCCAGCCUAUUUUUCUUGUUUUUGGCUGAUUUCUAUCAGGCAUAUUAAUGUGUAUUAGCUAUUCUAUCCUGCAUGGGAAUCAGGAAAUUGGACAGUGUUGUAGGUACUUAAUGAUGUAGGCAUGCUGAUAGCCACAAAGUGAGAAUUGACUGCACUACAAAAGAUGUUAAAGAAAGUAAUCCAAAUGGAAGGGAAAUGAUAUUAGAUGGAAAUCCAGAUCUACAUAAAGGAAUGAUGAACACUGGAAAAGGUAACUGCAGGGUAAUUCCACAAGAAAAGACAGCAUGUUUCUACAGAGAUCUGUACAUGAAUAUUCAUAGUAGCUUUAUAUUUAACAGUCUCCAAUUGGAAACAACUCAAAUGUCACCAACAGAUAAAUGGAUAAAUUGUGAUAUAUUCAUAUAAUGGAAUACUACUCAGCAAUAAAAAGGUAAUGAACUAUUGUUCUGUGCACCAGCAUGAUUAAUUUCAAAACAAUAUUGUGAGCGAAGGAGGAAAAUAUAAAAUUCUAGAAAAUGCAAACAGAUCUAUUGGGACAAAGGGCUGAGAGAUCAUUGGUUGCCUGGAGAGAGAAGUGCUGGGAGAGGAUUAUAAAAUGGCAGGGGAAAUUCUUAGGGUUGAUAGAUAUAUUCACUUCUUAUUCUGGUGAUGGUUUGACAGGGAUAUACAUGUUAACAUUUAUCAAUUGUAUUCUCAAUCAAUUCUAUACAUGUUUAAAGUUAUCAAUUAUACACCUUAUAUAUAUGCAGUUUAUUGAAUAUCAGUUAUACCUUAGCUUAAUACACUGAAAAAUGUAUCUAGAAAAUAAAGGAGGGGUGCCUGGCUGGCUCAAUCAGUAGAGCACAUGACUCUUG